rnacentral:snoRNA from 1 species
UUUAAUGAUGAUAAAAAAUUAACAACAACAACUUUGAAUUUCUUCAACCGAACUAUCAUAGGUGGAUACAUUACUUUGACAUAGCUUUUUAACCCUGAUC